rnacentral:tRNA from 1 species
GCUUCCAUAGCUCAGCAGGUAGAGCACUUCCAUGGUAAGGAAGAGGUCGCAGGUUCAAAUCCUGUUGGGAGCU